GUCAGUAGUGCAAAUUAAUACAUGAUGCAUUCCGCUCUCGUGCAAAUUGCAAAUGAAGAGAUUAUGUGCCUUUUCUUAAUAUAAUACAAGGUAUGAAUAAUAAAACAGAAAUAACUGACAGCGUCAAUAACCACUUCCACUGUAAGUGUAUACACAACAGAACAGACACAAUGCAAAGCCUUGCACAGAGCAGAGGGCAACACAACAGACACAAAGGAAGACUCCAGCAGCUUUCAAAAUUAC
rnacentral:lncRNA from 1 species